GUCGGUUAAGUCCGCUAACGAGCGCAACCCUCGCUGUGUGUUACAAGUGUCACACGGUACUGCCGGUCUUAAGCCGGAGGAAGGUGGGGAUGACGUCAAGUCAGCAUGGCCUUUAUGUCCUGGGCUACACACACGCUACAAUGGCCAACACAAUAGGUUGCUAAGCCGCGAGGUGGAGCCAAUCCUCAAAGUUGGUCUCAGUUCAGAUUGCAGGCUGCAACCCGCCUGCAUGAAGAUGGAGUUGCUAGUAACCGCAGGUCAGCUAUACUGCGGUGAAUACGUUCCCGGGGCUU
rnacentral:rRNA from 1 species